AAGGCUGGUUAGGCCGUAGCGUUCGCGCUGUGCUCAUCAGGUUGUUUUUUCUCUUCCUUGAUUCUCCGCAGGGCUCCAAGCCCUUCUCUUAAAUUGAUUCCAAGGAAAUAGACAUGAGUACAGGUACAGUUAAGUGGUUCAACGACGCCAAGGGUUUCGGAUUCAUUACCCCGGACGACGGCGGCAAGGACCUUUUCGUUCACUUCUCGGCCAUUCAGGCCGGCGGCUUCAAGUCGCUGAAGGAAAACGACAAGGUCAGCUUCGAAGUCGGCCAGGGCGCAAAAGGCCCCAACGCCACCAACGUCAAGCCGCUGUAGUCAGCCGGUUUGCCGGAAAAAAGCCCGGUCUUCCGGGCUUUUUCAUU
rnacentral:sRNA from 1 species